GCUAUUUCUGCUCUAAAAUGAUAAUGGUCACAUGAGGAGACACACUGCUUUUUUACAAACUCACUAGUGAUCUGGAUGAUGAGGAGGGAAAGUGACAAAGGAGUGGAGAGAGAGUGAGGAGAGAGUGUCGAGAAAGAGGAGAGAGUGAGGAGAAAGUGGAGAGAGUGAGGAGAAAGAGGAGAAAGUGGAGAGAGUGAGGAGAGAGCAGGGAGGGAGGGAAGAGAAAGUGGAGAGCAUGAGGAGAGAGUGAAGAGAAAGUGGAGAGAGUGAGGAGAAAGAGGAGAAAGUGGAGAGAGUGAGGAGAAAGUGGAGAGAGUGAGGAGAGAGCAGGGAGGGAGAGAAGAGAAAGUGGAGAGCAUGAGGAGAGAGUGAAGAGAAAGUGGAGAGAGUGAGGAGAGUAUGGGGAGAGACUGAGGAGAAAGUGAGGAGAGUACAGAGUGAGGAGAGAAUGAGAAGAGAGAAAAGAGAGUGAAGAGAGAUUGAGGAGAGACUGAGGAGAAAGUGGAGAGAGAAUGCAGCGAGACAAUCAGAACAGAGUGAGAAGAAAGCAAGGAAAGAAUGGAAAGAGAACAGAUUGAUGACAGAGCAAUGAGAGAGCGAUGAGAGAGAGCGAUGAGAGAGAGAGCGAUGAGAGAGAGCGAUGAGAGAGAGCGAUGAGAGAGAGCGAUGAGAGAGAGCGGGGAGAGAGCAUUCAAUGUCCUGAAGAAAUUAGGGAGAGCCCCAAUGCUGAGGUCACUGUUGGAUAAACAUCUGGAGACUACAUCUGCUCACCUCCUACAGCCGCCCUCAGGCCAAAGGAAAAGGAAAGCUCAGAGGAUAUGCUCAAACUCAAACUGUGUUCAAGCCUUAUUAUGAUCUAGCAGAUUUUAUUUUGAGACAGAGUGUGAACUGGGGAAUUGAAUUGAAAUACAAAAUGUAGACAUAAACAUUUUAGCUGUUUAAAUAUAUCUGAUGUUUUUAUGACUGGUAGGUCAGUAUAGCUGCAGACUUUGGGCAAUAAAUUGUGUUUAGUUAUUAGUUUUUAUUUUUUACUGGACACCUGUAAGAUUUUUUUGUUUGCGUGUUCAUAUUUUGUUUUUGUUUGUUUUAUCUCAGAAUUCAUUUCAGUCAAUUCACGUCUCGAGCAAGAACCAAACAUGUUCGUGCAAUCAGACAUGUUGCUUUUUUCAGUCCAUGUGAAACGAAGGAGCUCAUUGGUCAUCUAUCAUUGUGAAUAAAGGCGCAUUUCUCUCACCUCAGAUGAACAGAGUUUAGU
ensembl:lncRNA